GCCCUUAGAGUUUGAUCCUGGCUCAGAACGAACGCUGGCGGCAGGCCUAACACAUGCAAGUCGAGCGAGGACUUCGGUCCUAGCGGCGGACGGGUGAGUAACGCGUGGGAACGUGCCCUUUGCUACGGAACAGUCCCGGGAAACUGGGUUUAAUACCGUAUACGCCCUUCGGGGGAAAGAUUUAUCGGCAAAGGAUCGGCCCGCGUUGGAUUAGGUAGUUGGUGGGGUAAUGGCCUACCAAGCCGACGAUCCAUAGCUGGUUUGAGAGGAUGAUCAGCCACACUGGGACUGAGACACGGUCCAGACUCCUACGGGAGGCAGCAGUGGGGAAUCUUAGACAAUGGGGGCAACCCUGAUCUAGCCAUGCCGCGUGAGUGAAGAAGGCCCUACGGUUGUAAAGCUCUUUCAGCGGGGAAGAUAAUGACGGUACCCGCAGAAGAAGCCCCGGCUAACUCCGUGCCAGCAGCCGCGGUAAUACGGAGGGCGCUAGCUUUGUU
rnacentral:rRNA from 1 species